GUACUCAACAAGGAAGUGACGGCUAACUACGUGCCAGCAGCCGCGGUAAAACGUAGGUCUCAAGCGUUGUCCGGAAUUACUGGGUGUAAAGGGAGCGCAGGCGGGCAGACAAGUUGGAAGUGAAAUCCAUGGGCUCAACCCAUGAACUGCUUUCAAAACUGUUUUUCUUGAGUAGUGCAGAGGUAGGCGGAAUUCCCGGUGUAGCGGUGGAAUGCGUAGAUAUCGGGAGGAACACCAGUGGCGAAGGCGGCCUACUGGGCACCAACUGACGCUGAGGCUCGAAAGUGUGGGUAGCAAACAGGAUUAGAUACCCUGGUAGUCCACACCGUAAACGAUGAUUAUUAGGUGUUGGAGGAUUGACCCCUUCAGUGCCGCAGUUAACACAAUAAGUAAUCCACCUGGGGA
rnacentral:rRNA from 1 species